UACGUAGGGUGCAAGCGUUGUCCGGAAUUAUUGGGCGUAAAGAGCUCGUAGGCGGUUUGUCGCGUCUGCUGUGAAAUCCCGAGGCUCAACCUCGGGCCUGCAGUGGGUACGGGCAGACUAGAGUGCGGUAGGGGAGAUUGGAAUUCCUGGUGUAGCGGUGGAAUGCGCAGAUAUCAGGAGGAACACCGGUGGCGAAGGCGGUUCUCUGGGCAUUACCUGACGCUGAGGAGCGAAAGUGUGGGGAGCGAACAGG
rnacentral:rRNA from 1 species